rnacentral:rRNA from 1 species
AGUGAACGCUGGCGGCGUGCCUAACACAUGCAAGUCGAACGGAUCUUAAGAGCUUGCUCUUAAGGUUAGUGGCGCACGGGUGAGUAACACGUAGCUAACCUGCCCCAUAGUAAGGGACAACAGUUGGAAACGACUGCUAAUACCUUAUACUCCUUCUCUACCUAAGUAGAGUCGGGAAGUUUUUUUCGCUAUGGGAUGGGGCUGCGGCCUAUCAGCUUGUUGGGGAGGUAAUGGCUCACCAAGGCUAUGACGGGUAGCUGGUCUGAGAGGAUGAUCAGCCACAUUGGAACUGAGACACGGUCCAAACUCCUACGGGAGGCAGCAGUGGGGAAUUUUACACAAUGGGCGAAAGCCUGAUGUAGCAACGCCGCGUGGAGGAUGACGGAUUUAGGUCUGUAAACUCCUUUUAUAAGGGAAGAAAUUUGACGGUACCUUAAGAAGAAGCACCGGCUAACUCCGUGCCAGCCGCCGCCGUAA